rnacentral:rRNA from 1 species
CGCGUAGGCGGCGGCCCAAGUCAGGCGUGAAAUUCCUGGGCUCAACCUGGGGACUGCGCUUGAUACUGGGUUGCUUGAGGAUGGAAGAGGCUCGUGGAAUUCCUAGUGUAGCGGUGAAAUGCGUAGAUAUUAGGAAGAACACCAGUGGCGAAGGCGGCUUGCUGGACAGUAACUGACGUUCAGGCUCGAAAGCGUGGGGAGCAAACA